rnacentral:rRNA from 1 species
CGUGGGGAACCUGCCCCAUAGUCUGGGAUACCACUUGGAAACAGGUGCUAAUACCGGAUAAGAAAGCGGAUCGCAUGAUCAGCUUUUAAAAGGCGGGCGUAAGCUGUCGCUAUGGGAUGGCCCCGCGGUGCAUUAGCUAGUUGGUAAGGUAAAGGCUUACCAAGGCGAUGAUGCAUAGCCGAGUUGAGAGACUGAUCGGCCACAUUGGGACUGAGACACGGCCCAAACUCCUACGGGAGGCAGCAGUG